rnacentral:lncRNA from 1 species
AUGGCCUGUUGUAGUUGGUAUUCUUUUAUCUUCCACAACUGGGUGAAGUUGCUCUCUGAAUUUUUAUAGAAUUUCAGGAUGAGGGAGACUAUUGUUACAAGAAGAACCUUUAAGUGUAUUGUUCAUUCUUUUGAACAGAGAUUUGUUGUUAUUUUUAAAUUCUAAACCUCUGGAGCAGUAAGAGUUUUAGGAGAGCAAACUCUCCAACGCAUAAUGAGAUGGAUCUGUGCUAUUAUGAAGUGGGAGAACCCUGAUGUCAAUUGCCUAUGGUAGAGUCUGGUGUAAACAAAACUCAGGUCAGCCUUCUGUCUUGCAUGGAUUGAGGCUAACCAUGCCCCCUGCUCCCUGACACUCUCACGUGGCCACUUAGGGAUUUAUACAGGUAUUUAGUUAUUGAGGAGCUGGUAAGGACAGGUAAGGAACCACUACAAAACUACCAUUUGCUAAAAAAAUUACCACAAACUUGGUGGCUUAAAACAAAUUUAUUCUCACGCAGUUCUGGAGGCUAGGUCAAAAUCAAGGUGUCUGCAGGGUCGUCCUCCCUCAAAGGGAGUUUAAAACCUCGAGGGUUGAAUCCUUCUUUGUUUCUUCUGAAUCUUGGCUUGUGACCACACACUCUAAUCUCUGUUUUUGUGGCCCUAUUGCUUUCUCUCUGUCUGUGUCUUCUCUUCUGUCUCUUAUCAGGACACAUCAUUGGAUUAUCUGGGUGGGUCCUUAUCAUAGGUAAUCCAGGAAGACUCAGAUUCUUAGUUUAAAUACACCUUUGGUAUUUAUCAACCCACUGUAACAUCUCUGAAAUUCUUACAAUUACACUCUGAAAGCAUGUAUCACUAUUUAAAAACUCAGCUUCAAAAAGUUUUAAAUUGCUCAGGAUAUGUUCUUUAUAAGUGACAAAGCUGGUUUAAAAGCAGAAUUGUCUGGUUUCAAAGCAGGUUUUUUUUUUUUUCCUACUAUAUCAUACUAAAAAUAAUAAUAAUAAAGAAUUACAAUAGCUAUUUAUCAAAUACCAGCUGUCAGGCACUGUGGUAGAUGUACUAGAAGUAUUAUUUCUAAACUUUAUGACAAUCCUACAAAUUAGGUCUUCUUAUUCACAAUUUGUAGAUGAGGAAACUGAGGCUCAGAUGAGUUAAAAAAUGCUCCAAAUUAUGCAUAUAGUAAGUGGUUAAGCAGGAAUUUGAAAUCAAAGACAAAGCAAGUAAAAUGCUACUAGAUAAAUCUUCAAAGCACUGAGGAAACCUAUAGAUAGUGGCAGCAUGAUUUUUGGUAGAUGAGGGAUUGGCUAAGUCUCUUAGAAAUGUAUUAAAAAAUACCUGAUACCUAUAGGAUCAGUUUAACCCUAUAUGGUACAGUGUGGUUUGGGCAUUUUUCAUCCUGUAAGUGAAGCAGAGAUUUAAAGCAUUUUCUUCUUUUUGCAGCCCUUGAGUCUAUUUUGGUUGUCAGGUCUGUCUGUGCUUUGACUUUGCCCAGUUAGCGAGAACUGCCUUUGACUCUAUAGAAAGCAUAGUAACUUCACUUUGAAAAGCACUUUAGCAGUUCAGAGCUAUAUCUCAUUUAGUUCUUAGAGCAGUCCCUGAGAUUGCCAAGGGUAAGUAUCAUUAUCUUCAUUUUACAGUUGAGGAGACUGAGUUUCAAAGUAAGUUGUUACUGGCUAUUUUUUUUCACACCAAGGCAGGAACAACUUGAGGCCUGAGUGUUUGACUGCAAUUCUAAUUCCUUUUUCAGUGCACCGAGCCUGUUUUAGAUUGGCGGGAGGGAGAUAAAUUUGGCUAGCAUCAGCUUUAGGUA